UAUUUGGGUUCACUCUGUCACGAAGGCCAGCUACCUUGAAAGAAAUUUUACGUAGCCGCGACAACACUUGAAAACAUGCCACGACUAAGCCCGAACACCUUUACUACUAUCCGUUCAGAAAAAAUCUGUACGCUUUCAUUCGACGCUAUACGAUUUGACUCAGGGCAGAAUUCAGGCUAGCCUGUCACUGGGCCGACUUUUCAACAUGAGACAUCAAUAAUACGAAAUCUCUGUUCACUACAAAUACCACGGAAGCACUUCGUACCAGGGGUGUCCUUGACUAUCUCAAAAAUUGGCUCUAGAGACAAAGGAAAAUUACGAAGAUUUUCAGUCAGGAUAACCGGAAAACCUCCCGAGGACAAGUCAAAAGCGUUUCUGCUUUAAAAAAAUGAAGACCAAUUAAACUUUUGUCAAAGAAGACGACACAAAUUGUCCCUCGAAAACUUAAAACGCUGCUUCGUGCAAAAAGACCUGAAACGUCGUUCCAACACGACACCUACUUCGUGAAAUUUCCAUAAACACUUCAUCCGUUCGUCAUUUCCAAAAAUACCCUACACGUUUCAAUUAAACUUGACAUUGGAUACUAAAUGUAGUUUUGAAAAUUGAGUUUCGGCCCUUAUCAGCCUAUAAUAACUGUAUCCUAUUCAGUAAACAUUAUAAAUUUUUAUCACAUUUAUAAAAAAAUUGUCGAAACGUAAAUUUAUUAUAUAGCUCCAGUUUAAUAAUUACGUCUGUCAACAACAGAUCUGCAUCUGCAAGAAAUGAGUAUCAACACGAAUGAAGGUCACAAAAUGUGAAAGAACAAUUUUUUUUUUAUAAAUUUUAAAGCGUCUACACUUUUCCGCUCUGUUCUUUUUUUUUCGGUAGUGGACUUUGAAAAAUGUUUCCGGUUCGUUGCUCCUUGGCAAUGAACAUGUGAUGGAAUGAAAGCGGAAAUGUGGCAUGUAAGUUCUUAGAAUUAUACCUGAACUCAAAGCACAACCAACAUAACCUCAAAAUUAACUAUUACGAAAUUCGAGCUGCCGAAAUCUUCAAUUUCAGUCUUAUUGUUACACAAUGCGCUUCGCCUUGAACACUAGUUUGUUCCUAGUCUAUCACAAUCAAUGGAAUUAGUUCCUCAAAAUGAAAGUAAAUGAAAUUGUUGCAGAAACACGUAAUGGAAAUAUGAAUUGGACUGGAUCCCGCAAGAGGAACAUGGAAAAUUCAAGGACAAUGUAACUUACUCCGUAACUGAACUUGUCUCGUUCGUGAACUAAGCAACCAUAUUUUCAAAACUACAAAAUCUGUAUUCAAGCUGUCAGAAUCUAAAAAAAUAUUGAGCCGUCUUUGGGUGUGUUCAACAAAUUUAAAGCAAAGAUACAUUAACAUUUUUUGUACCGGGAAAACAUAAUUGGAAUCUUAAACCUCCCUAAAAUGAGCAGAGUCAUCGCACAUUUCAAUCAUAGUAACACACGCAGACAACAGCUGCUAUCUUUAGACUGACGCACAAGCAUGUCUCAUAUCGAGACGUGUUCAUUUUGUAGGUGUCAGUUCGCGUGCUUAUUUUCAAGAUUCAUCUACAAUAACAGGAGUUAAUUUUUCGAUAACCCGAUCAUGUUCUUCACAAAUUCUAGGUCAAUUUCCAAAUAACAGUUCAUCUGAUUCCGUAGUUGUAUUCAUUGUAGAGCUACUCUGAUGAUAAAGACAUUUCUGUUUUAAUGAA